UGAGGAAGAGGUAAUGCUGCAACAAGAUCUAUGAAGAAAUCUGAUCUCAAAUAUCUCCUUCCGAUCAACUUAGGAUCCAUAACAAGUUCACCUCUCCCAAAAACUCUUGAACUAGGUGAGUCAUAAGCUGUCCUAAACUUUAUUACAAUAUGAUCUAUGUAAAAUACAUCAGCAAAUGUUCUAAAACAUGUCACAGUAAUUCCUAAAUUCAAAUCAGUAUCCAUACAAGAUGACUUUUCCUUGUUGCUUGCUGAUGAAAGGAAAAAAAAACAAUGGAUCAACAAAGAGUGCUGUCAAGCAUGAGAAGAGGAAAAUCCUGUUCCAUUUCAAGAUAACAUCACUUCCUGGAUCAAGAAUUCUCUCUCUCCAAUAUGGCUCAUGAUGAUUCUCUGGAAAUACCAUAAACCUUCCAAAUCUAGGAACCUUGUUACUUGUGUUUCUGUCACUAUUAAUACCACCUCCUUAGUUUUAAGCAAUGGCUCUGAUGUUUUAUGUACAGGCAAUGUCUUCUCCAGGUUUUGACUAGCAUUAAAGCUGUAAAUUUUGAGAACACCCUUUAACCAAAUCAUCAAAGAAAGCAAAUGUGAAUCAUAAAAGAGAGAAAAUACAAGCAAAGAGACUAACCUUACUAGCUUCUCUUUCUUGAACUCCAUGACUGUAAGUAAUCCUAUAAUAUACUAUGUAUCCAAGAAAGGGAUACAAAAGAGGAUUGUCUUCAAAAAGUUUCACUGAAUUUUUCAUUUCUGAUUUGAAAGUAAAUCUUUCUUUCAAGAAAUGGACCUUGAGUUCCAAGCUGAAUAAAAUGAAAGGAGAUUUUGCAGAAAGAGGAAAAGAGAGGCUUUAGGUGGUGAAAAGGCAAAGUGAGGUGUUCAAUGUGGUUGACUUCCAUUAAAAGCCCAACAGAAAACUAAUAGUGAAAGAAAAAAAUAAACACAGCUCAGAUAUUCAUUUGCUUUCUUCUUUAAUUUAUUCUUUAUAAUGAUUAUUCUAUGUCAAAAAACCAAGUUAAGGUGAGGUUUUUACUAUACAAUUUAUAUUUACAUUUACAGGAUUUUGAAUAUAUGAUAGUUUGGUCACUUAGAACUAUGAUAUCAUGUCAAAGAAACAAUUUAAUUAAAAAAAAAAUGUUAAAUAAAGUUCCAAUAUAUGAUUUAUAUUAUUCUCUAAUAUAUUCGGACCAGCUUUUAUAUAGAAGUUAAUCUUUUUCCGAUAAGAUCUUAAACAUUAUCUUUCACAUUUGAAUUAUUGUAUUCAUGAAAAAUUUCAUUUUCAUAUUAUUUUGGAUUGGAACCGUGAAGAAUAACACAGAGAGUAAACCUGCAGGCUAAACAUAAAAAAAUUCAGGUACUUUUAUAUAUGUUUUACAACACUAACUUGUAAGAAAGUGGACUUGAAGAGCAUGCCAAAAAUAAAAAAUUGAAAAAACAGUACAUGUAUAUCAGAGACCAAGAAGUUUUAUUAGCAGAUCUCUCGGGCAAAAUAUAUUCUAUUUUGUGUUUCUUUUUGAUGUAUAGUGUUUUUACUAGUGUCAUUGUUCAGAUGUUGACAAGAUUGAACUAAAAUUAACUUACAUGUUGCGGAAAAAUUACUUAAUAUUUGCCACAAGAAUUUGCAGCAUGGAGAAAUAAAAGUUUACAUCACCUUUUUACCUUGGCAAACUUCACUUAAGCAUGGUCUCACAUCUGCAAUGAAACCUCUGUCUCUCAUUUCUCCAACAAGUAGCAACGCCCUUGAUUCAUCCUUAUGCUGGAGAAGUCCUCGAAUAAUAACAUUAUAAGAAAUUUCAUCUGGAGGGCAGCCAUCCGCUUCCAUAUUUCGGAAAGCUUCCAAUGCUUCAUCUAACAAUCCUUCUUUACAAAGUCCAUUUAUUAUUGUAGUGUAUAGCUGAACAUGAGGCUGCAGCCCUUGGACAAAGAGUUCUGAAAACAGUUUCCUAGCAUCUUUAUGAUUCCCAGAUUUGCACAUGGCAUGAACCAGGAUGGUAUACAUCACCAGAUUAGGCUUCAAGUAAGUACUUUGCAUUGCUCGAAACAGUCUGAAUGCCUUACCAAGAUACCCUUGUUUGCAAAAGCCAUCAAGCAAUAUUGAGUAAGUAAAUAAAUCUGGGAGGUUGCCAUUAGUGCACAUAUUCCUGAAAAGAUCUUGUGCUUCCCUGAGCUUGCCUAAUUGGCAAAAGCCAUGAAUAAGAGUGUUGUAACUAACAUUGUUCGGAGUUAAGCCUUGAUGAAUCAUUUCAUUAAAAAGCUGCAUGGCCUCGUCUAUCCUUUUGGCCUUACAAUAUCCAUUAAUUAAGAUGUUAUAACUAAAAAUAUUUGGUUUACAACCCUUGGUUAUCAUGACAUGAAACAGCUUUCUAGCUUCAACAACAUCCGUCCACAAGGAAUAUCCAUACAUCAACGAACUGUAAGUAACAACGUUAGGCUCCACACCCAUUUCAGUCAUUGUUUUUAACACACCUAGAGCCUCUGAAACCUUGCCUUCUUUACAAAAAGUAUCAACUAGCACGUUGAAGGUGACAAUAUCUGGCAUGAUAUUCAAACUCGUCAUUUCAUUUAGCAAAGCCGAAGCCUCCUUCCAUCGGCUGAAUUUACAUAAGCCCUGGAUCAAAGAGGUGUAAGUGAAAAUAUCUGGGGAAAUGCCUUUAGCCUUCAUAUAAGAGAAGAUAUCUAAAGCCUCAUUCACCAGCCUAUCUCUGCAAAGACUGUCAAUGAGUGUACUGUAUGUCACCAUGUUCGGCUGGCAGCCUGCCUCUUCCAUUUUCUUAAGCAAUCCAGCAGCCGCAGCAGUUUCCCCAAUCUUACAUAAGCCAUUGAUAAUCGUAUUAUAUGUGUAGACAUCAGGUUGACACCCUUUUGCCACCAUGUCAUCAAAUAAUUCCACGGCUUGGGCAAAUUCACCCACUUUACAGAGCCCAUUGAUUAAGGUGGUAAAUGUGACAAUAGUGGGUUGAAGACCAAGUUUAAUGACUUUGGCCAAGACAGAGAACCCAAGAUCAACACGUUGCAACUGGCAGAAGCAAUUCAUAAAGAUACUAAGCGUAUAAAUAUUAGGAGAGAGCCCAACUAAUUCCAUUUGUUUGGAAAGAGAAAUCACAACAUCGUAAUACUGUCCCAUUUUGACAAUUGCAGACAAUAAUUUGGCGAAUUGGAUAAUACAAGGCAGGGGUUUCCUAUGAAGCAUGUGAUUGAAAGAAGCAAGGGCAUCAUCAAUGUUUCUAAAAGAAGAAGAAGCGUCAUUUUUGUGUUGAUAUGUACUGCUACAGCUACUGCUAGAAGAAGAAAUGGAGUUGGAGUGGUUGAUAGACAACAUUGAUGAAGUGGUUGGAGAUGGAAGAAUCAUACCCGUCAUUUUCAUUUGGCAUCGCUGAAAAUGGGACCCAGUGAAAAAGGCUUCUGAACCUCCUCGUCUCACUGCCGCCGCCGCCAUCAUCGUCGACCUUCCUAGGUGUUUUUCCUUCUCCCUGUGGUCUGUUUUUUUAUUGACCCAAAUGACAGAGACACUUUGUAACAAAUCCGGAAGAUUGAAGAAAGGGAUUUGCGGAAGCAGGACCCCCCCUCUCUCUCUCUGACAAGGAAUGCAGAAGUUUGGGGAAGUAAAUUAGUUGGGAAUGAACGGUUUAGAAAGCAAAUCAUACACAUUUUUAAAAAAAAAACAACAAAAUUCAAUCCGUAUGGAAAAAAAUAAAUCAGAAUUAAUCCAGUUUAUGCGGUUAAACUAGCUAUUUGACUGACAUCAAUUAAUAAAAAGUAAAUUUAAAAAAUAAGCAUGAUUUUUAAUAAAUAUAAUAUUUUGAAGUGGAGAAAAAAAAAUUAAAUUUAUCAUAAUGAUAUAUAACCCAAGAGAAAAAAAUACAAAGCAUAAUUACUAAAAUUAAAAAUAAAAACUAAGAAAAAAAACAAGUUGUUAUAAAAUGAAAUUAAAAAAACUCAAAAAAUAGUUAAAAAAACAAAUCAACUAGAAAAACUAAUAAAAAAAACUCUUAUCACCGUAGAUUAAUUUGUUAAACCUAGUUUCUAAAUCAUGAAAUCAGUUAAAAUUCAUAAAAUAUAAAUGAAAAAAUAUUAUAAAAUUCUAUUUUCAACAAAUCUAAUAUUAAAUGUUGAAAUUGAGAAGAAAAAAAACUAAAUUCAUAAGAUUGAUAUAUAAUUUAAUUGAAAAAAUCAAAAAUAUUAUAAAAUUUAAUUUUUAAAACAAUUUUAUAUGAAAUAAUAAAAUUAAAAACAUUAAGAUUGAGUAAUUAAAAUGUAAAAUUAAGUAAAUUAAAAAAAAAACUCAUAAACGCCAUUCAGAUUAAUAUUAUUUUGAGUGUGGUUACAGUGAUUCAGCCGCAUGUUUAGUUUUUUUUUUUUGUUAUUUUUGUUAAUUUUACUGUAAAUAAUAUGAUAAUUCAUAAAUUAUUAAUUAAUAAUAUAUAUACAAAAUUAAAUAUUUAUAGCAAAUUAAAAAUAUUAGUGAUUUCACUAUACAUAUCAUUUCCCAUCUCAGUGCUUAUAUGUUUUAUUUUGCUUGGUAACUUUAUUGAAUGGUGAAAAAGGAGAAAACAAAAAGAAAAAGAAAGUGAUUCGUCGAACUUUUUUUUAAUUAAAACAUUAUCUAUUUAACCACGAGGCAAGCAUUAUAGGUUGAAAUAAUUCACCUUCUUUUAUCCUUUUAAUUGUUUUCUAAUUUAAUCAGUAAUUUGUUUAAUUCAUCUUUUAAUACUUUAUAAUUUUUAUUUAUUUAUUUUAUAUAUAAUUAUUAUGAUAUAAAAAAAAAUCCAACAUUAAAAUGAUUUUUAAUUUAGUCAAAAUAUAUUUACCGAUAUAAAUAUAAUUUGAUUUUAAAAAAAUUAAAAAUAAAUUUUUAUUAAUAAUAAAAUAAUGAAUGAACUCGGGCUUUAUGAAUUAUUUCAUCGUUCAUAGAACCUAGAUCAUGAACUUUUUAUUGUGUUUAUUCUUUGUAAAACAAAAUAUUACUUUUUAUUUAAUAAUAUAAUAACAAAAAUCAACAUUUGUUUCUGUAAAAUUAUAUUUGAGUACACAUGACAUGUAUUUGUUUAAAAAUAUAUUUGGAAUAAUUUAAUGUUUUUCCAAAUUUCGAUCCAAGCAUAUUAAAAUUAUCUUAAAAUAUCAAAAAAGACUAAUUUAAUAAUAUUACAAUUUAAAGCGCUUUACGAAAUACAGCCUCACUAGUCGCAACUGCAUCAAGGCCAUUCAUCCUCUUGAAUAAGAUUAUCUUGCUGAAAUUUAUCACGGAGCUCAGGGCCAUUUCAGCAAGAAAAUCCAAGGCAAUAAUGUGUUAAUCUCACCUGAUUGACUGUGACAAAACUCUAAUCAAGACUGCCUACAUGAGAUAAAUCACAAGCAACUCGCACCUUUUACAUCCACUUGGCUUCCAGCAACCUAAAAAGUAAUGGAGUCAUCCAUGGGUGCUUAUAGCACUAGUAAUGGCGUGGAGGAUUUUAAUUAAUAUCCCUUCAGGAUUGGAUCAUUUGCCUUCCAUAUUAGCUUUCUCCCAUUGGUAGUUGGCUGUUGGGUGAGAACAGGGGUCGAGCUAGUCAUCAUCUGGUUCUGUAGAGAAGUCUGGCUCUUCAGGUUUUUGCAACUUGAGCAUUUCAACAUUCUUGACUUUCUGUGCCCCUCUCCUUGUGUUUGCAGCAAAUCUUGAAGCUAGUAUUGUAACACCAAGGUGCUGUUUUGCUUGAGAAUUUGAAGGUGCAAAACUUGGUUCAUCCUCCUCUAGUGUUGUUUCAUCACAAACUGUUUGCUCAUCAACAGAAACUGAGAAGGACUCUGACAUGCUCAGGCUCUUUGCCAUCAUCCUCUUCUUGUGUCGACGCCAAGCAGCCUGAAUAAAGCAGGCAGCCCAGCUUCUCCAAUGGUAAGAGUAGAAACGGAAGGUAUGCUGUAGUUUCUUGCUAUGGAGACGUCUAAACUGAUUGGCAACGAACUUGAGGUCUUCUGCUCGCAAUGCAAAUGCUUCCACUUCUUCUAGUGCUCUCACUGUCCUUGUGGAAGAAGGUAAGUUGAGAGUAGAUUUUGGAAGCAAUGACCAGGCAAGCAGCUCUUCACCGCAGAAGUCACCAGGUCUCAAAGUAAUUGAAUUGAAGAAACCUGUUCGCCCUCCAUUUGUAGUUGAGCUCUCUAGCUUUCCCCUGAUAAUAAAAAGCAUCUCCGUAACCGGAUCACUUUCUCGAACUAUGUAGUUUCCUUGAGUACUCAAACAGGACACUAAGCGCUCACAUAUGGCAUCCAGUAGCUGAUCAUCCAUCUGCGAGAAAAAAGGAACCUACAAAUAGGAAAAACAUUAGCUAAAGCUGCAUGAGAUUUUAAAAUGCUUGAAAGUAACACUAGGGAGUCCCUUACUCGUCUAACAAGGUCCAAGCAUAGGUGACGCUGGAUGUCUCGACGAAGAUCCAUAGGUAAUGCACGCAGAAUUGAUUCUUCAUCAACCCCUCUAGUUGCAAGCCACUUGUAUUGAACAAAUCUUCUGACAUGUUCACGCAAACUUUGGGGCAGUUGACGAUGUCUCAUCCACUCUUCUGUGUCUCGUCGCUUGAGCCUCCACUCCUCAAGCCUCACAGUGAUAGAUUGCAUGUAGGUCUAUUCAAGAGAGAGUAUGUUAAAUACUGCAGAGUUUUGUAUCUCAGAAGAAAAUUAUCAUGAAAACUAUAAGGGAAAUACUCUCUUGAGAAUGAGAACACUUCCAAGUUUUUUCCAAGAAAACAGACUUCAAUAUUUUUGUAGCAGGGGAAGGUUUCUGUCACGACCCGAAUCCCGGGUCCAUGACCGGCAACGCAGGAGCGGUGCCGGAAGGACACCCCGCCCGCGCUAAGCCUCAAAACGGACAUAUCAAAAGAAUAAUUUAUUUCAAAAUACGCAGCAUUUCAUAAUCUUCAGAAAUCUUAUAUUACUCAAAACUGAUGAAACCAAAAAAUAGUUUAAAACUCCUCAUCAGUAAUUAAAACAAAAACAAUAAUCCAUAAUACUCAUUACAUUGUCAAAAUUCAGACUUAAAACAAGGUAAUAGUGGAGCGCCUAAGACAUCGAAUCAAACAACCUUGAAAGAUAAGCAAGGCAUACUGACCCAAAACUGAAGAAGCAGGAACACUCAACAAGGUUCACCUGCUAUCAGAAACUAAGAACCUGAAAUAAUAUUAAGAAUGAGGGGUGAGUUCAACCAACUCAGUGAGGGAAUAAUAAUUAAUAUACAUUUUAGAUAUUCUUGAUAUUUAUAGUUCGCAAGAUCAUUUAUCUUGAUAUACAUAUACAUAUACAUACUAAACUUAUCAUAUACAUAUCAUAUACAUAUCAUAUACAUACUAAACGUAUCAUCAUAACGUAGUGGACUAUAUGUCAGAGAUCAGAUGACACCCGAAGGUGACCAGAUGACACCCGAAGGUGACCAGACCAGAUGACACCCGAAGGUGACCACUGUGGGAUGAUCAGUCGCCACAGGCUGAUGCCUCUCUCACCAGCUAGGUAUACAUACAUAAUACUAUGUGCACACAGGCUAACUACUCUCCGUUAGCAUGGAGUUACUGACAAGUCCCAUAUCAAGGCAUAAUAGAUAUUCACAUAAUCAUCAAAGAAACGUAUAUCAUAUCAAAUAGGAUUUACUUUGACAGAUUGCGAGUGCAAAUUCAAGAAUAAAUGAGUACUCGGAAAAUAAGCAACAUAUAUAAUUAUUCAAGAAAUUAACGAGUUGUACUCAUUGUAUAAUCAACAUACAUAUUUACUUAUCAUAUAUGCAUAUUAAAGAUUAUUCCACUCACCCGGAAAAUAUAGAACUAAAAGGAAUGUCAGACGAAAGACCCGAAAAUCCUAUUGAGGAUCAUUAGGAGAACCUACAACAAUAUAUGAAAUAUACUCAAAAAUAACUCAAACAAAAGAUCCCAAUGCAUAAAAUAAAAUCAGCUUUAGUCUCCUACGUUUAUGGACUAAAACGACAAUUUUCCAAAACAGGGACCAAAACGUAAUUUUACCAAAACUGGACCAAUCUGGAAAAUACAUAACUAUACUGAAUUUUCACCCAUAAACCAUCCUUAAUUCUGUCUAGAACGAACCAUGGACCGAACUGUAAUUUUCAUAAAGUUCAGGGACUAAACUGUAAAUUUCCAAAAUUGAGGGACCAAACUGAAAAUAUUCCAAAUCAAUUGUCAAACUCAGAUUCAUCAUCCUUAACCUCAUAAUAACACUGUCCAGAAUCUCAAAAUACAAUUAGGGGUCAAAUUAUAAUUUUUCCCAAAGUUUAGGGACUAAACUGUAAUUUCACAAAUUGAGGGACCAAAUUGAAUUUUCGUCAUCUUCAACCUCAAACCCAGAAUUUCACAGAUUACCUACUGUCAUCACCUGAUUUCUAACACAAUUUCACCAUUCAAAUAAAAUCAUAACUCAAAAUCAUCAUCUUUACCUCCAAUCUCUCACAAUCAACUAAUUAACCAAUUACCCACAACAAUCAACCCAUAACCUUCCAAUUAAUUCAUCAAUCAAACUCAAAACACAAUAUUCAAAACCCUAACAUUUAUCAAAACAGAACUUAAAGCUUAAAGAACACACAUUUAUACAUAAUCUUACCUUUAAACUUAUUUUCCUCUACUUCUCUCCCUUUUCCCUUCUCUUCCCCUCUUUUCUCUUCUUCUUCUUCCUCCUCCCUUCUCUCUCACGGUUUGCUCCUUCCAUUUUCAGAUCCCUCUUUCUUUCUUCUUCUUUCUUUUAUUUAUAUUUAUCAACUAUUGUUCAAUUACCACAAUACCCCUCAUUUAAUUAUACUUACUUCUAAGCCUCCAAGGGCUUGGUUGCCCUUUCCUACUAAUUUAUUUGCAAAACAUCACAGUUUCAAUUGCAACAGAGGCCAAAAACAGCCUAAGGUUAUGUCAUGUGUCCACAUUACCUGCAUAUUCCCAAUCAAAUGAGCAAAUAAAACCAGGCCCAAGAUGGCAAUGAGUAUGGCAAAUGCAGUUUCCCCAAUGAAUGUGCUUGUAGACAAAGACUGGCCAUAGGAACUGAAAAAUACAAUAAGCAGAAAAGAUAUGUUAGAAGUUCCUAUAAAAACCUCUUUGAGUUAUGGAGACAAUUAGAUGGAAUCUAUGUAUCUGUGGAUAAUAAUACCACAGAAACUGCAUGCAGAAGAAAGAAAAUUUUCUCCUUCAACAUCAUGCAUCGAUUCAAACAGCUAGUGAAACUGAUAAAAUGCAAUCAGAUUCUAUCAUUAUCUUGAAUGAAUAUCUAUGGUGAAUUUCAAUGAAGUCAUGCCCCACCAUAAACAAUACAAGUACUUUUCAAGAAACUCAGAGGAAAGUACUUUCUGCUGCAAUGCAUUUGCGAAUAUGUCAUAAUCAAAAAAGGAAGUGUCGUCUGGAUUACAUCUGGCAAACAAAACAGUAGUGUUUUCCCAGGACUUGCGAUCAGGAAAUUCCAAAGUUUCGCAAUCCAAGUAACGGGGGUUGCAUGGUAUAGGGCUUAAUUCAUGUUUGCAAGCAGAUUUCCAGCAUGUUGCAUGACGCUCAAUCGACAGCAAAUACCAUGAUGCCCCCAACACCUACAAGAUCACAGGCCUAAUCAGUGUAAAGCCGCACUAAAUGACCGACACAACAGCAAUAGCUAUUGUUUUGUGAGAGCAGCAAGUAGUAUAGCCUAUAAAUGCAAGUAUUUUCUGAUUCAAGGAGGCAUUACGUACAUGACUAGCCAGCAUGUAUAGCAGGAGAUUAUACGCAGCCCCUGCCCAGGCAGUCUUUGUAACUACUCCAGUGGCUUUAAUGAUCUCAGAACUUAAUGGAAAAAUCAAAUACAAUCUGGGAAUUUAUUGGAGCAGAACAAUCAGUACUAGGGCAUUAUUGGUAUGAUCAGCACGCGAGCUUCUAAUUGUUGGUAUAAUAAACCAUAUCACAAUCUGCCAAAGGGAACAAUUUGAUGUCAUUUCUUCUUUAGCUUCAAAGGACAGAUUGCAAUAACGAAAAGGCACUAAAAAUCAAAGAAAUAUGAAAACUUUCAUUUGCAAGUAAUGGGUGCUUAAAAAAUCAAAUACACUGCCAUAUGUGUCAUAUUUCAAUCCAAAAGAGCAGGCACAAUCGCAUAUUCUUAGUCACAAAGUUAAGAAUCAAACUCGAGACCUUUCCCCCUCUCUGCAGAGGUGAACGCCACUGGGCGAAACGCGGAUUUGUAACUUCAGCUCAACCUCAAGAAGUGAAAGAAAUUCCUGGAAUUUUGUGGCAAAAGGGAAGCUGAAAAUUGCAGUAGCAACUUCAACCUCAUCAACUAAAUGAAAAUUUCAAGUUCGUUCUCAUUUUUUACAAGUAGCUGUGAUUUCUAUGCAAAAAAGAAAAAAAAAUGAAAUCACAGGCUAAAAUUCUACAUUCAAAUCAAAUAAACAAAAGCAGAAACGAAGAUAGGAAUGUAUGUACCUGAGGAAGAGGUAAUGCUGCAACAAGAUCUAUGAAGAAAUCUGAUCUCAAAUAUCUCUUUGCGAUCAACUUAGGAUCCAUAACAAGUUCACCUCUCCCAAAAACUCUUUAACUAGGUGAGACAUAAGCUGUCCUAAACUUUAUUACAAUAUGAUCUAUGUAAAAUACAUCAGCAACUGUUCUAAAACAUGUCACAGUAAUUCCUAAAUUCAAAUCAGUAUCCAUACAAGAUGACUUUUCCUUGUUGGUUACUGAUGGAAGGUA
rnacentral:lncRNA from 1 species